rnacentral:rRNA from 1 species
AUUGAACGCUGGCGGCAUGCUUUACACAUGCAAGUCGAACGGUAACAGGCCGCAAGGUGCUGACGAGUGGCGAACGGGUGCGUAAUGCAUCGGAACGUGCCCAGUCGUGGGGGAUAACUACUCGAAAGAGUAGCUAAUACCGCAUACGAUCUAUGGGUGAAAGCGGGGGGCCGUAAGGCCUCGCGCGAUUGGAGCGGCCGAUGUCAGAUUAGGUAGUUGGUGGGGUAAAGGCUCACCAAGCCAACGAUCUGUAGCUGGUGUGAGAGGACGACCAGCCACACUGGGACUGAGACACGGCCCAGACUCCCACGGGAGGCAGCAGUGGGGAAUUUUGGACAAUGGGCGCAAGCCUGAUCCAGCAAUGCCGCGUGCAGGAAGAAGGCGUUCGGGUUGUAAACUGCUUUUGUACGGAACGAAACGGCUCUGGUUAAUACCCGGGGCUAAUGACGGUACCGUAAGAAUAAGCACCGGCUAACUACGUG